ACUGCUCUGGCUGGAUGAGUGUUUUACAGCCUUAUUUUUUUUUAAGAUGCGUUUUAAUUUACCACUUUAUGCCUAAGUCGGUGCUUUCUGUUUGUUGCCUUUUGAGAGGCGGUCUAAACCACGCUUGGCCCCCUAAUUUAACGUUACUGACAGCGUGCCAUCCGAAGCCAAGCUUUUUAUAAAGCUGCAGAUCAAUAGAAAUGCUACAAUUAAUUAAAGCCGAGUCCGGUGGAAAGAGCUGCUUUUAAACAAGGGAAUGUUCCCUGCAGGACUUGCAACCUCAGAUCCCGCAGCCGUGAGCGCCUGCAGUGAGCCGACUGGAAACAAAAGUGGAACCGACUUAAUUGGGUUUUCGUGGCUCUGGCGAAGUAUAAAGAGCAACAGCAAAUAGAGCUACAGAGGACAACAAAUGUUUCCCAGCCUUCCUACUGUAACACCCUGAUCCAGCCCAGCCUACUGGUGGGAAGGAAAAAUACGAUGAGUUUAAACCGCAGAAGGGAACAGAUUCAGUUCUCAAGUGCCUCUUCAUUGACCGUGGACCCCAACUUGUGUAUAAAUGGGUUGGAGCCUUGCCUCUUCCGCCUCUCUAUGGCAGAGAGCACCGUAGGUUCCUUCUGAGCUACGUUCAGCCUGACAAAUAUGCCCUGUUUUGUUUGUUCCGGGAUUCCAAGCUUUUUCAAGUGAUAGGUUUUAUAGCGUGGCGUGUUUAUAAAGACAAAAACAGGACAG
ensembl:lncRNA